rnacentral:rRNA from 1 species
GACGAACGCUGGCGGCGUGCUUAACACAUGCAAGUCGAACGGUAAGGCCCUUCGGGGUACACGAGUGGCGAACGGGUGAGUAACACGUGGGUGAUCUGCCCUGCACUUCGGGAUAAGCCUGGGAAACUGGGUCUAAUACCGGAUAGGACCCUGGGAUGCAUGUCCUGGGGUGGAAAGCUUUUGCGGUGUGGGAUGGGCCCGCGGCCUAUCAGCUUGUUGGUGGGGUGAUGGCCUACCAAGGCGACGACGGGUAGCCGGCCUGAGAGGGUGACCGGCCACGCUGGGACUGAGAUACGGCCCAGACUCCGACGGGAGGCAGCAGUGGGGAAUAUUGCACAAUGGGCGCAAGCCUGAUGCAGCGACGCCGCGUGAGGGAUGACGGCCUUCGGGUUGUAAACCUCUUUCAGCACCGGCGAAGCGCAAGUGACGGUAGGUGCAGAAGAAGGACCGGCCAACUACGUGCCAGCCGCCGCAGUAA